GACAAACUGUGCAGAACCAGCUCUCUGCCUGGAACAUAAUCACCCCUCACUUUGCAGCUAAUCUGCUCAAUGUAGUGCAGCGAGAGAAGACCAGCUCUCCAUUUGAUUGCCUCGAGUUUGGGAGAGCAGUGCCAAGGUUGGAUAUGUUCGGUAUGAGCACUAACAGAGUCCAGGCUCUGUGACUCGACCACAACCCCACGCAAUGUUGUCUUCCUAUGGUACCCGAAGAUAGCUUUCACUUUUGUUGACAAAAUGGGCUGUAAAUUGAUUUUGGCCUGCGAUAGGAGAAUCUAAGAAUCGCAUUCGAAAUCUGCAUCAUGUGUUAAAGCCAAGCAGCAUGAGACCAGCUCAAUAUCCUCGCCCAA